CCUACGGGGCGCAGCAGUCGAGAAUCAUUCACAAUGGGGGAAACCCUGAUGGUGCGACGCCGCGUGGGGGAAUGAAGGUCUUCGGAUUGUAAACCCCUGUCAUGUGGGAGCAAAUUAAAAAGAUAGUACCACACGAGGAAGAGACGGCUAACUCUGUGCCAGCAGCCGCGGUAAUACAGAGGUCUCAAGCGUUGUUCGGAAUCACUGGGCGUAAAGCGUGCGUAGGCUGUUUCGUAAGUCGUGUGUGAAAGGCGCGGGCUCAACCCGCGGACGGCACAUGAUACUGCGAGACUAGAGUAAUGGAGGGGGAACCGGAAUUCGCGGUGUAGCAGUGAAAUGCGUAGAUAUCGAGAGGAACACUCGUGGCGAAGGCGGGUUCCUGGACAUUAACUGACGCUGAGGCACGAAGGCCAGGGGAGCGAAAGGGAUUAGAUACCCGAGUAGUC
rnacentral:rRNA from 1 species